rnacentral:rRNA from 1 species
AGUGAACGCUGGCGGUAGGCCUAACACAUGCAAGUCGAACGGCAGCACAGUAAGAGCUUGCUCUUACGGGUGGCGAGUGGCGGACGGGUGAGGAAUACAUCGGAAUCUACUUUUUCGUGGGGGAUAACGUAGGGAAACUUACGCUAAUACCGCAUACGACCUACGGGUGAAAGCAGGGGAUCUUCGGACCUUGCGCGAUUGAAUGAGCCGAUGUCGGAUUAGCUAGUUGGCGGGGUAAAGGCCCACCAAGGCGACGAUCCGUAGCUGGUCUGAGAGGAUGAUCAGCCACACUGGACCUGAGACACGGUCCAGCCUCCUACGGGAGGCAGCAGUGGGGAAUAUGGGACAAUGGGCGCAAGCCUGAUCCAGCCAUACCGCGUGGGUGAAGAAGGCCUGCGGGUUGUAAAGCCCUUUUGUUGGGAAAGAAAAGCAGCAGGUUAAUACCCCGCUGUUCUGACGGUACCCAAAGAAUAAGCACCGGCUAACUUCGG